rnacentral:lncRNA from 1 species
GGGUUCCGUCCAGCGUAUCCUUCAGAUCUUGCUGUAGGCCUCUGGUGUCUGUGCGCGCGCGGCAGGGGCGGCGGCGGCGACGGCCGGAGGUGUACGGUGUAAAUCCAAACCGCUUCCAACUCAAGGCAAGUAACAGCCCACGGUGUUCUGGCAGGAAAACAUCAGCUAAGAAAGGAAACUGGGUCCUAUGGCUUGGACUUUCCAACUCUGACAGACCGGCAGGACAGAAACAACUGGUUCAGGAGCCCUUGCCAGCCUCUAGAGAAAUCCCAGAACACUCAGCCCUGAUGACACAUUAAUACCCUGCACAUAUUGGAGACUGCUGACCACGCAUACUCACCAACCACCACUUCUGGCCACAAAUUUCUUUUUGAAGGCUUAUUCCAGUUUUGUGAGGCUAGCAUGAGGUGUAUGCAUUUGCCAGGGGCAAAUUUAUACUGCUGAAUUAACCCAUGCAACAAAUGCUGCACAUCUGCUCGCAGUCCAUUUAGAGGCAUUUGCGGUAGACAAUGGAGGGGCCAGACUCAUCAUACAUACCUGAUGGCUAACCCACAUGCUUGCAGUCCAUUUAGAGGCAUUUGCAGUGGAUGAUGGAGGGGCCACAUACCUAAUUGCUAAUCCACAUCUGCUGGAAGGUGGACAGUGAGGCCAGGAUGGAACCACCAAUCCACACCGAGUACUUGUGCUCUGGGGGCAUGAUGAACUUGAUCUUCAUGGUGCUGGAUGCCAGCGUGGUGAUGCCAGGGCACAUGGUGGUGCUGCUGGACAGCACUGUGUUGGCGUACAGGUCUUUGCGGAUGUCCACGUCACACUUCAUGAUGGAGUUGAAGGUGGUCUUGUGGAUGCCGCAGGAUUCCAUGCCCAAGAAGGAAGGCUGGAACAGCACCUGCAGACACCAGAACCACUUGUUGCCGAUGGUGAUGACCUGACCUGGCCAUCAGGCAGCUCAUAGCUCUUCUCCAGGGAGGAGGAGGAUGUGGCAGUGGCCAUCUCCUGCUCGAAGUCCAGGGCGAUGUAGCACACCUUCUCGUUGAUGUCGCGCACAAUCUCCUGCUUGGCCGUGAUGGUGAAGCUUGGUGAGGAUCUUCAUGAGGUAGUUGGUCAGGUCCUGGCCAGCCAGGUCCAGACGCAGGAUGGCGUGGUGGGAGGGCAUGGCCCUCGUAGAUGGGUACCAUGUAGGUGGCCCUGUCUCCAGA